rnacentral:rRNA from 1 species
UCCUACGGGAGGCAGCAGUAGGGAAUAUUGCACAAUGGGCGAAAGCCUGAUGCAGCAACGCCGCGUGUGCGAUGAAGGCCUUCGGGUCGUAAAGCACUUUUCUGGGAGAUGAGAAAGGACAGUAUCUCAGGAAUAAGUCUCGGCUAACUACGUGCCAGCAGCCGCGGUAAAAUGUAGGAGGCAAGCGUUAUCCGGAUUCACUGGGCGUAAAGCGCGUGCAGGUGGCUGGUAAGUUAGGCGUGAAAUCUCCCGGCUCAACUGGGAGAGGUCGUCUAAUACUACCAGGCUUGAGAGCAGAAGAGGAAGAUGGAAUUCCCGGUGUAGUGGUGAAAUGCGUAGAUAUCGGGAGGAACACCAGUGGCGAAGGCGAUCUUCUGGUCUGUUUCUGACACUCAGACGCGACAGCUAGGGUAGUAAACGGGAUUAGAGACCCCGGUAAUCCUAGCCGUAAACGAUGUGAACUUGGCGUUGGUGGGUUAAACUCCAUCAGUGCCGAAGCAAACGCGAUAAGUUCACCGCCUGGGGACUACGGCCGCAAGGUUAAAAUUCAAAGGAAUUGACGGGGGCCCGCACAAGCAGCGGAGCGUGUGGUUUAAUUCGAUGCUACACGAAGAACCUUACCCAGGCUUGACAUACAGGUGGUAGGGAUCCGAAAGGUGACCGACCCGCAAGGGAGCCUGAACAGGUGUUGCAUGGCUGUCGUCAGCUCGUGUCGUGAGAUGUUCGGUUAAGUCCGCUAACGAGCGCAACCCUCGUCGCGUGUUAUACGUGUCACGCGAGACCGCCGGUAUUAAGCCGGAGGAAGGUGGGGAUGACGUCAAGUCAGCAUGGCCUUUAUGCCUGGGGCUACACACACGCUACAAUGGGCAGUACAAUGGGUUGCUAAGCCGCGAGGUGGAGCCAAUCCCCCAAAACUGUCCUCAGUUCAGAUUGCAGGCUGCAACUCGCCUGCAUGAAGCCGGAGUUGCUAGUAAACGCGCGUCAGCUAUAGUGCGUUGAAUACGUUCUCGGGCCUUGUACCACCGCCAU